rnacentral:lncRNA from 1 species
CCUAACGAUCUCAGACUGUGACAGCAACUGAGGCUUAGGAGUAAGCUCCACGCCUUCAGAGGGCAUGCAGUACUGGCACCUGAGGUUACAACGCUCUGUCAAGGAGAUUCUCAAGUAGGUGUGAAACCGACCAAAUGAAUCAACCAACAUGUCUGAGACAGAGCUGGGUUUUGUCUGAUCAACUUGAGCUGCAUUGCUUGUAGUAGUAAUGUUUUUUGAGCCAACCUGUUAAAGAAGCCCAAAGUGAGAAGAGACCACAAUAAAAGCAUUGAAUCUCUCUAAUGGCAAAUCACAUCACACACAUACUAAAAGGUCAUAUCAACAUUCAUCAGCUCGUAGCAAAGUAAAUAGGGGAAAAGAUUGGAAAUUUACCAAGAAAGAGUUCGAAUUGGUGAAACCCAUUUGCCGGGGAGUGAGUUUAGAAAGGCACCUCCUCAUCGUUGUUAACACUGCAGAGAAACGAUUGAGUGAGAAUCGUGCUGAGGGUGUGAAGAUUAAAACUUGAUUGAAGUGAGAGAGAGAGAGGGGGAUGAAAGAGGUGACCUUUGGGAGACGGAGGGGAGAGAGAUUCUUAUUCUUAUGGUGAAACCAAACAAAGUUGGAUUCUUCUUCUAUGGUACAAAAAGGCUGGCGUUGAAAAAAUGAAGACGGCACUUGCAGAGUAGAGAGGUUUGGAUUAAAAAACAGAUAACUAUUUCGUCUUUUCUGAGACAUCUGCCGGUCUUGCCGGUGACCGGUUAUCGCCAAUCAAACCAACGUUAUCAAAUCAACGUGAUUGGGAAAUUUGACUUGUAAAAGUUGAAAAUUUGACUGGUAAAAACAUCCCUUUGAUUUUUUUUUUUUUUUUUUUUGACAACAAGACAUUCACAGACUCAACUUGACUCUGUAAACCAAAUCGGUAACUCUGCAUCCAUGUGAACGACGAAAGACGAUUGUUUCCUAACACUACGUGCUAAGCUAUCCGCCCUUUUAUUCUCCGUCCGAGGUACAUGAACAAUCUCUGAGUUGUUGAAGCUUCCUUGUAGGACUUUGAUAUCUUUCAGGUAACUUUCAAAUGCUGGCCAUUCUUCUGGUUCCGAAACCAUCUUCACCAGUUGAGAACAAUCCGUUGCAAACGUAACAUGAAGCUGUCUUAAAUUCCUCAUACAUUCCAUUGCCCAGAUCAGCGCCUCCACCUCUGAAUGUAGUGGUGAAAGACAUGCCCUUACAUUCCGUGCCCCUAAUAAGCCAUCGAAACCCGGUAGGAUACUAUACCAGCCCUGUCCUGAAAAUAGAUCCUUAUCUUUCCAUGAUCCAUCUAUAAAACACCAGCGUCCUGAAGUUACCAAUAUGGGUCUGGUAUGUACCUGUAAUUCCCGUUUUUGGUCGUUGUUCACCUGUGCCGCAGCCCAAAGUGUAGAUUCCAAUUCUGCUAGUCUAAGGGUUUCCCUUGGAUCGACAUCCAGGUUACUGAAAACUUUAUUAUUCCUACCUUUCCAUAUAUACCAUAAAAUCCAAGCAAAUUGAUGAUUUUAUAUUAGGCAUAGAGUUAUUAGGACUUUAAUCUCAAAUGGGACAAAUGGGUGAAAAAAAAUCUACAACCACCUAUUUUAAUCUACAUGGGACAAUAAUUAGAAAAUUACAAUAUUGUCAUUAAUGAAAGAACAAUAUGAGCCAUUCGAUUCUCUUUUCUCUCUUUAAACUAGAGUCGUCGGAUCAUAAAGAAAGAAGAGAUUAUGAUAUUUACGAAAACGCCAUUAAUGAAGUAUCAAUCAUAGCCGUUAGAUCAUCUUGUCUACCAUUUAAUUAUAGUCACACAAUUACAUAUAUCUCUCCUUCUCUCUAUUCUCUCUUAAUCUCAACCGCAUGAUCAUUUCUUCCUUCUUCAAUUACAACCAUAGGAUCUUCCUUAUCUCAUUCUUUAAUUCGACUGGGUAUAACUAGUAUAACUCGUACAACUGAACAGGUUAAGAAAUUUUAUAAAUGGUAUAUAAAUGUUAUAAUCUAUAUAUAAUAUGUAGCUACUAUAAUUAACACGACUAGUAAAUCAUGUUUUACAUAUGAAAUAAACAACAAAUAUCCUAAUUUGUAUAUAAUGAUAAAAUUUCAUAUAUUUUAUUUGAGAUUUAUCAACUAUAUUAGUCAUAUUAUAAUGAUAAACAAACACCGAACAUAUUUUUGCAAAGCUAUGAAGUGAAAAUAUUGGUACAAUCUCUAAACCGAGACAUAUAUAGAAACAAUUGAUAUCAUUUUUAUUAUAUAUUAAAUGAGUAUUACUGGUAUAACUGGUACAACUUUAACAUUUAAUAAAUUUGACAAAACCAAUUUGGUAUUCCAUAUGAGAAAAAAUAAUCAAAUAUCUCAAUUUGUAUGUACUCAUAAGUUUCUCUUAAUUUAUUUGAAGUUUUGGAUUUUUUUUUUGAAAAUUAUUACAUAACUCCACAAGCUUACAUGAUCCACCUUAUACUUUUAAGGUUUGUUAACUUGUUUGUCCACUAAAUUUUUGGAAAACAUACAUAAAAUGAAUUUUUACGAAAUUGAUGAUUUCAUUGUAACCGGGCAAAGACAUGUAAACAUAAUUAAGUGGUACAACAUAUGUAAUUUGUAUUUAUUAUGUGGUACAACUGAUAUUUUACGAUUUCACUGCCAAAGUACAACUAUGCACAAACUGGUACAACUCAAAAACUAGUACAACUAUGUACAGCCGGUACAACUAGAAAACUAGUACAACUACUUGUUAUUUUAUUUAUUAUAAAUGACUAUAUUACCCUUGAUGAAAAUGCAUUCUCAACCAUUAGAUCAUCUCACUUCUUAUAAUCUGAACCACACGAUCUUUCUUCUCUUCUUCUCUCUUUCGGUUGGGACCCACUUCCUCUUUCUCUCAACCCUAGAUCAUUUUUCCCUUGUUCGAUCAUGGCCACACGAUUUCUAUCAUUUGUAUGUGUAUAACUAAUAUAACUUGUACAACUAAACAAGCAAACAGAUGAUGUAACUAGUAUUUACGUGACACGACUAAUAAAUCAUGUUUUCCAUAUGAAAUAAACGAACAAAUAUCUUAAUUGGUUAAUGGUGACAAAAUUUCAUUUAUUUUAAUUGAGAGUUUUCAAUAUUUUGUUUUAUUUACCAAAAGGAGAUGCAGUUUCUCUCUCGCGGUUCCGAACCUGCCUGGUUAGAUUUGACGAGGACCACCGUGGACACCACCAUCGAGCUUCCUCUUCUUUGUCAUGACUUCACUCUUCUUUGUUGUAUCUCUCUUCUUCUUCGUUGUAUCUCUCUUCUUCUUCUUCAUUAUAUAUUUCUUCUUAUUCGGUGCGGCACCUCUCUUUUUCACAGUAGAGUCCUUUUUGUUCAUCGCCGGUGAGUCACUCAUACUCAUCGCCGACACUCCCUCUCUCUUAUUUUUCAGGUGACUCGUGUAUUUGGAACCAUGGUUGAGUUUUUUUCUGGCUCCGUAUCUACCUUUUUGGUCUCGAGAGCAAAAAGAUGAAGAUGAUUUUUUUUCGAAAAUAGUACAACUAGUAUAACUGGUACAACUUGUAACAAAUCAUUAGUCAAAUCAAAUAUUAUUAAAAAUAUACUAUUCAUGUAUUUGAUACAUGCAGGCGGGGAAGAUUAGACCAAUAUGUCUUCUUGGUUCUACAUCAUUUUUUUUAUCAUCUUUAUACGCUGAAAACAAAAAAUAAAAAUCACUAUAUUAAUUGCAAAGUUGUACUAGUUAUACUCAUUGUAGUUGUACUAGUUGGAGUUGUACUAGUUGUAUUAGUAAUACUGCGUUUUUUUUUUAUCUUGAAUCUCAUAAGAAAAAGAUGAAAUUUGAUUCUAAAUAAGAUAUAAUUGAUUGAAAAUGACUAUGAAUUGAUCGAUUUGGUAUAAGAAAAAGAAAAUUAGUGGAUUAUUAAAGAAAAUUUUUGAUUUUGUUUUAUGGUGGAAGAACAUUAAUGGAGAAGAAAGAAGAAGAAGAAAAAAAUUAGGGUUAAAAUUGCAUAGGGUUUUGGGUCGGAUUUUGGGUCUGGAUCCGGGUCAAAUCUGGGUAGGAUAGUCAUGGCAGAAACUAGUAAAUAUGUUUGAUUCUUUAAGUCUUAUGGUCUUUUCUCCAAAUUUUGAUUUAUUUUUAAUUUAUUUUUUAAUUAAAAUUUGAAGUGGUCCUUUUUAGAUUUUUUUGACCCCCUUUGUCCCAUUCCAGAAUUUGAUCCCAUAGGUAUUUGUUUGAAUAUUCAAAGAUGCAUCAUUAUCUGUCUAAUUUUUGCUAAUUUCUCGAUCCAAGAACAUCAUGAUUACAUGUGCAACACUGUGUUUUAACUUUUUCAUAAAUUAAAUUAUAAGAGAAUCUCUCAAAAUAUCUUAUAUCAUCUGGCAUAACAUAUUUUAAUCCAUCUAUCAAAACAUUGAUGUUCAUGCCAAAACCAAUUCCAUACUAAAGAUCACAUCAUAAAAUUUACCUGACAGACCACUUAAGUCAGCUGGCAUGUUUGCCUCGCUGGUCACCACUAGAAAGUUUCAGACCUUUCCCAAAGUUAACAUAACUUGGUCUUCAGGUGACAGUUCAGUCAGCGAAUCAGGGGAGUUAUACGAUGUUUCAUGCUAUGCUUUAACUUCCAAUUUGUGAAAUUAAAAAGUGUCGAAACUUUUAAAACUGAAACAAACAAACAUUGUUCUUGCAUAACAGUAUCUUAGACUGAUUGUAGAAUAGUAAGGUAAUGGGACUCGAGAAAUUCACAUAGAAAGUCUGAGUUCCUGUACAGUGUCUGUUACGUAUACAUAUACGAACAUUGAGAAACUCAUUCUGUAUAUUCUUGUUUGCAAAAAGUUAUGUCACAGAGUUGGAGUAGCAGGGACGUAGAUUCAUACAACAUAUGGAACUCAAUGUUUCCUUCUACUGUUUUCCAGGAACUUCACAAACCUGUAAAGAGAAUCAAUAAGUCACCAUUGAUCACCAUAAAAAAAAAGGAGGAGCAGAGUACACAAAAGGAUCAAUGAAUCAAAGACUGUUACUUAGAUCAAGUGUCUAAAUGCUUGAAUCUAAACUUAAAGCGCCAAAGUAUACAAAAAUAUUUGAGUUACAAAGCAAAUUAGAGAGUCUGUUGGUCCAAUGCCUGGUUCAAUAACUGAUUGUGUCAGUUUGGUUAACGAUAAAAAAAAUGGCUUAAAGGAACUUACAUUAGCUUUUUUGUUUUAGCCACCAAUGUGUAUCAUUGGUCUAUUAGCUGUCUUUGCAAUGUCAAGCAUUCCAGCGUGUGCCGCUUUCUUCCUCUUCACCUGAAACCCCAUUCUCAAAAAAAUCUUAAUGUCUCAAACACCAAACCAAUCUUUAAAGAAAGCAGAAGAAAGAUUUCUUGAUGAAGCAACUAAAUACAUACAGCAGCGCCUAUAAUUUCCCUUAGCGUUUCGUCAUCAGCACCAGACCGGAUAGGAUCUCUCAAACUAACCUGCUUACAAGAAAAUGAUUGUCAAGUUUAACGUUAUUAGAGUCAUCAUAUUUACAGGGAAUCAAGUUAGUGUGUAGAUGUUCUCAGUCAAUUUGAAUCAACAAGUAAUCUUAAUUUACCUCUGAAGGACCGAACAAGCAUACUUUGAAGUUCCCAUCUGCAAGUAAUCUUAACCUAUUGCAGCCAGAACAGAAGUGCUCCGUCAUAGAUGUGAUGAAAGAUACAGAACCGCAAUGUCCAUCAAUAGUGAAGUUCUUAGCUGUUUCAGUAGGGUGAUCUUGGACACGUUUUAUACUCGGAAAGCGCUUUACCUGUUAACAUAACAACGCCAAAUCAAUCAUGAAACUCUGCUCAAGAAAAGGUCGAAAAGAUCUCCAAAAAACAGCCAAACAUUAAAGAGAAAUCUACCUUACCACUUUAUCCAUCAUUUCAGCAUAAGACACAAGUUUCUUUACAUUCCAAACAUUUCCAUCAAAGGGCAUAAACUCUAUGAACCGGACGUUGAUAGGCUUAUCUCUAGUCAGCUCCACAAAAUCACAAAUCUCAUCAUCAUUCAAUCCCCUCAUGACAACACAGUUGACCUGCAAAUACAAACCAUCUCUUGUGAACAAACACGAAUUAACUUAGAAGAAAGCAAAUAAACUUAAAAGAGCAAAACGAAUCGACCCGUUUAUAGUUUGUAUAUUGAUUAUGUGAAUUAAUAAUUUACAAUCCCUUAGACCCGUAUUUAUACUAGCCUCAAAAACUGAGAUUUAAGUCAUUUUCCGAAUCAACAAUAUCAAAUAUGGUUCUAUUGCAAUCAAAAACAUACCUUCACAGGAUUGUAACCAAGAGCAAUAGCGAAAUCAAUAGAUUGCAUAACCCUCUCGUGCCCUUUACGCCUAGUGAGAAACUCAAACUUUGCAGGGACAAGAGUAUCCAAACUGAUGUUUAUGGAAUCAAGCCCACACUCUUUAAGCUUUGGUAGCUUCCUCGCAAGAGUGAUACCAUUAGUAGUAAUAGCCAGAUUCUUCAACCCUUUUAAGCUAGACAACUGCAUACAGAUCUCUUCGAUGUCUUUCCUCACCGUAGGCUCGCCACCGGUCAGCCUAAUCUUGUUAACACCAGAAGACACAAAGAGACCAGCCAACCUAACGAUCUCAGACUGUGACAGCAACUGAGGCUUAGGAGUAAGCUCCACGCCUUCAGAGGGCAUGCAGUACUGGCACCUGAGGUUACAACGCUCUGUCAAGGAGAUUCUCAAGUAGGUGUGAAACCGACCAAAUGAAUCAACCAACAUGUCUGAGACAGAGCUGGGUUUUGUCUGAUCAACUUGAGCUGCAUUGCUUGUAGUAGUAAUGUUUUUUGAGCCAACC